UUCGGUGUUCGGUUUGGCGUAUUAUAAUUUGUAGACACAAAGUAACGUGUUAGGUUCGCAUAGUUUGUUGCUGGCGAACAAAAAUGAAGUCGAAUUUCAAAUCCUUGGCAAAUUCGUGCAGUUCCGUUUACUAUGUAAAUAUGUUUUCACUGUAAAUCUUGGACAUCAAAACCCAUGAAUGCCAUGAAAACCAGUCACCCACAGUCCCACACCCCAGCCAUGGUCUAACAUUGCCCCAGCAAUGAAGCAUGUUCAAGUUCAAUAAGGUUGAAACCGCCAGAUGGGGUCGCUAAUUCGCUACCAGGUGGGGUAAUUUUUUCUUUAAACUGCACGUGGUGGCGAAAAGCUGAUGUUUGAAACACAACGUUCUAGAAGUUGGAACAGUACCUCGCAAAUGCGAGAACAUCGCAGUUGAAGACACCAAUUCGUUGUGAAUCGUAACCCAGAAAAACCCACUCAAUCUUGCUAAAGAGGAUUGGUGAAGGAUUGCAGUAACCUGAACAUGUGGAUGACUCCCAAUGAGAAGAAGAGACCAACUAAUUGCAGCUGUCGACGUAUCAUGACCCUUGAGGGGAAAAAAGAAGAAAUGGUGCAUAGCAAAACAUUAGCAAUUGAGUUUCGUUUACCUACUUCGAACAUAAAAGUGUCGACUUCUUCACGAAUGUCGGUAUCGGUUAGCAAAAUCCCAUCGUUUGAAGCAUCAAUAAGAAGAUCAAGGAAAGCCAAGCGUUUCUUAGCUGUUAAGAAGAAAAACUACCUGGAAUGAAAUUGUCAUCUUGAUUGGUACCCACGUCAAUGGCAUUCUUCUGUAGGCUAUUUUGCUUCCGUUCCAGCUUCCUACUUUGAAUCACCUGGAACGAUAGAGUAAACGGUAAGAGCCAAUGUCAUACAACGCACGAAUCAAGGACAAACUUACUUUAUCCGUAAAGGCAUGUAAGAUUUUAAGAUUUUUACGUUGCUCUGCGCCGUACGAAGACAGAUGGAACAAGAGAUUAGAUUGCAUCAUCGGUUGACUUGCUCUAACAUUAAAAAUUCGGCACAUCCUUUAUGUUAACAAAUUCAUUUAAGCACUCAACAACAGCAAUUGAUGCAAUUAAAGGUCUUACGAAUGAACAGCUUGAGGGUAUUCGCCAUUGCUGUGAGUUUGGGCUUCAAUUUUGCACCCCAUUGCUGAUUCUAAAAAGUUCCAGUUACCAUACAGUGUUCGACGUAGAUUGUGUUAAGCUCAAAUACCACAGAUGAUGUCAAGGGUGCAUCUUGUUAUAAAUGGAUAAAUAUCAAAACCGUCCUUUUGGGUUUCCACGGCUGCGUUGAUUUUUUCGAUCAAAAUUUGACUCUGUUCAUUAAAAACUUGCACAAAAUCUCCUAAAAUUUUGAAAUGAAAGGUCGGUGUAAGCAAUUUUCGCCUACUAAACCAUUUGCUUCCUGUCGAAUCAAAUUACACAAAUUAAUGGAGCCUUCAUCAAUAGUAAUUCAACACAGUACCUGUGCUCGUGAGUAAUCCAGUAUUAAGCCAAGGAUGAAGAAAACCAUAUUCGCGACUUUUGUCAAUUAACGUGUUGUUGCUUAGUACAACCUAAUAAUCCAAUUAAAGGCGUAGAUCAUAGUCGUAGUUUAAAUGUAAAUGAAAGUAAAACGGACGGUUCAAUUAUUUUAAAAACUGUUAUUUUCACACAGAUCUAACCUCAAACGCCUCGGGCGUAAACAGCAAAAUAUUCGGGAACGGGCCAGCCCAUAUACGAAGUACAGGACCACAAGAGCGCAUGAUGUACACGUAUCCCAUAACCAGACUGAAAAGUUCUAUAAAAGAAAAGAUGGAAAUACGUAUAAAUAAAAAUUUAGGCUAUACACAACCUUCAGGUGGGACAAGAAAAGUCGUGGCGUUGCCCAGAAAAGUAAACCCGCCAAACAUUCCAGGUCACAACAAUAGCCAAAGUGAAUAGCGUCACGCUAUUGGGUGCUGUAAUCCAUUGCGGAAGAUGAAAAUCCAUUGUUCUUUAUGCCUGUGGCUUGUCACGUCAGUCAAUAACAGCACUAUAUUCCAUAUCAAUUACGUCUUGAUAAACUUCAACCGCUCGUGCAACGAUCAAUCUCAACGACUCCCAACAGCGAAAUCAAGACUCAUGGGUACAGAUAUAUUUUCAUGUGAGCAACUUCUACAAGGCAUAAGUCAUUU